rnacentral:rRNA from 1 species
UACACUCCUACGGGAGGCAGCAGUAGGGAAUCUUCCACAAUGGGUGCAAACCUGAUGGAGCAAUGCCGCGUGAGUGAAGAAGGUCUUCGGAUCGUAAAGCUCUGUUGUUAGAGAAGAACACGUGCUAGGUAACUACUAGCGCCUUGACGGUAUCUAACCAGAAAGUCACGGCUAACUACGUGCCAGCAGCCGCGGUAAUACGUAGGUGACAAGCGUUGUCCGGAUUUAUUGGGCGUAAAGGGAGCGCAGGCGGUCUGUUUAGUCUAAUGUGAAAGCCCACGGCUUAACCGUGGAACGGCAUUGGAAACUGACAGACUUGAAUGUAGAAGAGGAAAAUGGAAUUCCAAGUGUAGCGGUGGAAUGCGUAGAUAUUUGGAGGAACACCAGUGGCGAAGGCGAUUUUCUGGUCUAACAUUGACGCUGAGGCUCGAAAGCGUGGGGAGCGAACAGGAUUAGAUACCCUUGUAGUCCCAUGAU